CACCGCGGUUAUACGAGAGGCCCCAGUUGAUACAUGCGGCGUAAAGAGUGGUUAUGGAGUGCACCAACUAAAGCUGAAGUCUCCCUUGGCCGUCAUACGCACCUGGAAGUACGAAACUCUACCACGAAAGUAGCUUUACCCAAACCCACCUGACCCCACGAAAGCUGAGACA
rnacentral:rRNA from 1 species